rnacentral:ncRNA from 1 species
AAAGACUUAGUCCUAACCUUGUUAUUAAUUUUUGCCGAAUCUAUACAUGCAAGUAUCCGCAUCCCAGUGUAAAUGCCCCUAGCCCCCUACAAGGACAAGAGGAGCAGGCAUCAGGCACACCCUCUGUAGCCCAAAACGCCUUGCUCAGCCACACCCCCACGGGUAUUCAGCAGUAAUUAACAUUAAGCAAUAAGUGAAAACUUGACUUAGUCACGGCAACAUAGGGUUGGUAAAUCUUGUGCCAGCCACCGCGGUCAUACAAGAAACCCAAAUUAAUAACGCACGGCGUAAAGAGUGAUUAAACAUCUAUCGUUCCUGUCUGAGGCCAAAACAUGCCUGAGCCGUCACAAGCCCAAGACAUACUUAAGCCCAUAAAUUCACCUCAACUUCAACGAUCAACCGAACUCACGAAAGCCAGGGGACAAACUGGGAUUAGAUACCCCACUAUGCCUGGCCGUUAAUUCAAAUGCUUUCUUACCUAAGCAUUCGCCAGGGAAUUACGAGCACAAACGCUUAAAACCCUAAGGACUUGGCGGUGUCCCAAACCCACCUAGAGGAGCCUGUUCUAUAAUCGAUAACCCACGCUACACCCAACCUCCCCUUGCAAUAAACAGCCUAUAUACCGCCGUCGUCAGCCCACCUCCACUGAGAGUCCAACAGUGAGCAUAAUAGCUUCACCCGCUAAAAAGACAGGUCAAGGUAUAGCCCAUGGGGGGGAAAGAAAUGGGCUACAUUUUCUGACACAGACAAUAACGAAAGAGGACCUGAAAUCCAUCCUCAGAAGGCGGAUUUAGCAGUAAGACAUAACCACCAUGCUUGCCUUAAACUGGCCCUAGGACACGUACAUACCGCCCGUCACCCUCCUCGCAAGCAACACCUCUCCUCACCAUAGAACUGCAAUUAGCUAAAGAUGAGGU